CAAUAGCGUAUAUUAAAGUUGUUGCAGUUAAAAAGCUCGUAGUUGGAUUUCUGGUCGGAAGCUCCUGUCCUCUGAUGAACGUACAAGUGCGUCCUACCAUCCUUCUGUUAACCUUUAAGGCUUUCGCGGCUUUCUAGGGGCUCAGAUAUUUUACCUUGAGAAAAUUAGAGUGUUUCAGGCAGGCUAGCGCCGGAAUACAUUAGCAUGGAAUAAUGGAAUAGGACUUUUGCCUCUUCUGUUGGUCAUGAGGCUCGAGUAAUGAUUAAUAGGGAUAGUUGGGGGCAUUAGUACUUAACUGUCAGAGGUGAAAUUCUCGGAUUUGUUAAAGACUAACUUAUGCGAAAGCAUUUGCCAAGGAUGUUUUCAUUAA
rnacentral:rRNA from 1 species